CAGGCUUGCYUGGUCUGAUCAGUGGCGAACGGGUGAGUAACACGUGAGUAACCUGCCCCAGACUCUGGGAUAACCCCGGGAAACCGGAGCUAAUACCGGAUAUGACACCAGGUCGCAUGGCCAUGGUGUGGAAAGUUUUUCGGUCUGGGAUGGACUCGCGGCCUAUCAGCUUGUUGGUGAGGUAGUGGCUCACCAAGGCGACGACGGGUAGCCGGCCUGAGAGGGCGACCGGCCACACUGGGACUGAGACACGGCCCAGACUCCUACGGGAGGCAGCAGUGGGGAAUAUUGCACAAUGGGCGAAAGCCUGAUGCAGCGACGCCGCGUGAGGGAUGACGGCCUUCGGGUUGUAAACCUCUUUCAGCAGGGAAGAAGCGCAAGUGACGGUACCUGCAGAAGAAGCACCGGCUAACUACGUGCCAGCAGCCGCGGUAAUACGUAGGGUGCGAGCGUUGUCCGGAAUUAUUGGGCGUAAAGAGCUUGUAGGUGGUUUGUCGCGUCUGCUGUGAAAAUCCGAGGCUCAACCUCGGACUUGCAGUGGGUACGGGCAGACUAGAGUGUGUAGGGGAGACUGGAAUUCCUGGU
rnacentral:rRNA from 1 species